rnacentral:rRNA from 1 species
GGAUUAGAUACCCUGGUAGUCUACGCCGUAAACGAUGGAUACUAGCAUUCGGAGGUGUCGACCCCUUCGGUAGCGAAGCUAACGCGUUAAGUAUCCCGCCUGUGUAGUACGAGCGCAAGCUUAAAACAUAAAGGAAUUGACGGGGACCCGCACAAGCGGUGGAGCGUGUUCUUUAAUUCGAGGCUAAGCGAAGAACCUUACCAGGACUUGACAUCCUUGGAAUCUCUAGGAAACUAGAGAGUGCCUUCGGGAACCAAGUGACAGGUGCUGCAUGGCCGUCGUCAGCUCGUGCCG